rnacentral:piRNA from 1 species
GUUCUGGUAACUGCGGGCUCGGUCUC